rnacentral:rRNA from 1 species
UACGGAGGGGGCUAGCGUUGUUCGGAAUUACUGGGCGUAAAGCGCGCGCAGGCGGCUUUGUAAGUUAGAGGUGAAAGCCCGGGGCUCAACUCCGGAAUUGCCUUUAAGACUGCAUCGCUAGAAUUGUGGAGAGGUAAGUGGAAUUCCGAGUGUAGAGGUGAAAUUCGUAGAUAUUCGGAAGAACACCAGUGGCGAAGGCGACUUACUGGACACAUAUUGACGCUGAGGUGCGAAAGCGUGGGGAGCAAACAGG